rnacentral:rRNA from 1 species
UACGGGGGGGGGCGAGCGUUGUUCGGAAUUACUGGGCGUAAAGGGUUUGUAGGUGGUCUGCUAAGUCAGACGUGAAAUCCCUCAGCUUAACUGGGGAACUGCGUCUGAUACUGGCGGACUUGAGGACAGGAGAGGAACGCGGAAUUCCAGGUGUAGCGGUGAAAUGCGUAGAUAUCUGGAGGAACACCGGUGGCGAAGGCGGCGUUCUGGACUGUUUCUGACACUGAAAAACGAAAGCCAGGGGAGCAAACAGGG